rnacentral:snRNA from 1 species
GGAUGUGAGGGCAAUAUGGCUGCGACAUCUGUCACCCAUUGAUCGCCAGGGUUGAUGUGGCUGGUCUGGCUGGCUAGGCGGGUGCCCCUUCCUCCCUCACUGCUCCAUGCGCGUCCCUCCCGGGGCUGCAUGCUCUGCAAAAGAGGACGACCACCCCCGAAAGAGGAGGACUGUUUCCUGGGUCAAGGGUAUAUGCUAGCCGCACUCCCCUGCUAGAACCUCCAACACCAUCUGAGAACUGUCUUCUUAAGUCAUGAACUCACCUCUACUUCAUUCUCCACAGCAUACGGCAGCUAGUUAUCGCUCAAUUUUGGAAGUCUGAUCAUUCUA